rnacentral:rRNA from 1 species
UACGUACGAGGCGAGCGUUAUCCGGAAUUACUGGGCGUAAAGCGCGCGCAGGCGGACCAUUAAGUUGGGCGUGAAAUCUCCCGGCCUAACUGGGAGGGUCGCCCAAGACUGGUGGUCUUGAGGACAGCAGAGGUGGGUGGAAUUCCUGGUGUAGUGGUGAAAUGCGUAGAUAUCGGGAGGAACACCUGUGGCGAAGGCGAAGUCCCUGGACAGGUCCG